GAGGGCAUGAACUCCUCCCACUA
rnacentral:piRNA from 1 species